rnacentral:rRNA from 1 species
GACGAACGCUGGCGGCGUGCCUAAUACAUGCAAGUCGAACGCAGUGGGGACGGGUGAGUAACCCGUGGUUAACCUCCCAUCAGAGGGGAUAACACUUGGAAACAGGUUCUAAACCGAUCCUUAUGGAUUGACCCUCGGUGCAUUAGCUAGUUGGGGAGGUAACGGCUCCCCAAGGCCACGAUGCAUAGCCGACAUGAGAUGGUGAUCGGCCACACUGGGACUGAGACACGGCCCAGAUUCCUACGGGAGGCAGCAGUAGGGAAGCUUCGGCAAUGGACGAAAGUCUGACCGAGCAACGCCGCGUGAGUGAAGAAGGUUUUCGGAUCGUAAAACUCUGUUGUUAGAGAAGCGGUAUCUAACCAGAAAGCCACGGCUAACUACGUGCCAGCAGCCGCGGUAAUUC